rnacentral:lncRNA from 1 species
UUCGUCCAGCGGAAAAAGGCCACAAAAACGGGUGGGCUAUAGCCUUGGGGGGUGGGGCUGGCCUACUUCGUCCGCCGGACUCGGAAUGCCGCGAGACUUUGUGAGGGGCCUCCGUGUGCCAAAAAUAGGCCGCGGGCAAAGCCGCGCCCAAAAAUAACCGCCCGAAGGCCGGGGCGCCAAGUUCGUCCAGCGGAAAAAGGCCACAAAAACGGGUGGGCUAUAGCCUUGGGGGGUGGGGCUGGCCAUCUUCGUCCGCCGGACUCGGAAUGCCGUGAGACUUUGCGAGGGAUCUCCGUGUGCCAUAAAUAAUCCGCGGGCAAAGCCGCGCCUAAAAAUAACCACCCGAAGGCCGGGGCGCCAAGUUCGUCCAGCGGUAAAAGGCCACAAAAACGGGUGGGCUAUAGCCUUGGAGGGUGGGGCUGGCCAACUUCGUCCGCCGGACUCGGAAUGCCGCGAGACUUUGCGAGGGGCCUCCGUGUCCCAAAAAUAGGCCGCGGACGAACCCGUACCCAAAAAUAACCGCACGAAGGCCGGGUCGCCCUGUUCGUCCAGCGGAAAAAGGCCACAAAAACGGGUGGGCUAUAGCCUUGGGGGGUGGGGCAGGCCCACUUCGUCCGCCGGACUCGGAAUGGCGCGAGACUUUGCGAGGCGCCUCCGUGUGCCAAAAAUAGGCCGCGGGCACAGCCGCGCCCAAAAAUAACCGCCCGAUGGCCGGGGCGCCAAGUUCGUCCAGCGGAAAAAGCCCACAAAAACGGGUGGGCUAUAGCCUUGGGGGGUGGGGCGCGCCCACUUCGUCCGCCGGACUCGGAAUGGCGCGAGACUUUGCGAGGCGCCU